CCUACGGGUGGCUGCAGUGAGGAAUAUUGGUCAAUGGACGAGAGUCUGAACCAGCCAAGUAGCGUGAAGGAUGACUGCCCUAUGGGUUGUAAACUUCUUUUAUAUGGGAAUAAAACGUUCCACGUGUGGGAUUUUGUAUGUACCAUAUGAAUAAGGAUCGGCUAACUCCGUGCCAGCAGCCGCGGUACUACGGAGGAUCCGAGCGUUAUCCGGAUUUAUUGGGUUUAAAGGGAGCGUAGGUGGAUUGUUAAGUCAGUUGUGAAAGUUUGCGGCUCAACCGUAAAAUUGCAGUUGAAACUGGCAGUCUUGAGUACAGUAGAGGUGGGCGGAAUUCGGGGUGUAGCGGUGAAAUGCUUAGAUAUCACGAAGAACUCCGAUUGCGAAGGCAGUUCACUGGACUGCAACUGACACUGAGGCUCGAAAGUGUGGGUAUCAAACAGGAUUAGAUACCCUUGUAGUC
rnacentral:rRNA from 1 species